ACUAAAAUGACAUGACUAUAGACAAAACAAAAUUGAUGUUUAAAUGAUAAAAUGACUCAAGGCAGCAAAGAAUAGCCGAAUAAAAUGAUGAAAAACUCAAGCAAUUAAAGCUAGCACCAAAGAAAACUCAAGCAGAACCUAACUCAAACAGCAAAUGAAUGGAACGACAUGAAACAGAUUCAAGACAUUUCAGAAAUGUGAUGACAGUAUGGAAUAAAGCAAGGAAACACUUAGCUCACUGCAGGGUCAUGAAUGAAGCUCUGAAUACCACUUGAUACCAUCCAGCCUCGAUGCUAGAUCCAGAUCCGUGAGAUUGGAGGUGAGAAUCAACGCUGAACAACUGGAAAUCCAAUGGAACAGUAGCUAUGAAGAAUUCCAGCGCUGGUUUGGGCAGAGAGGAGUAACUCUCAGUUUUGGUGAGAUUCAAGGAAUGGUUGCAGCGGAAUGAUGGUGAUUAUGGUAAGGUGAGGUGAAGGCAAGCUUGAAUGAGUGGUUAACUACUUCAGAAGGCCUCCAUAAUGGAAGAAAGUAGCAAUGGAGUACAAGCAAGGAGAAUGACUUUCGGUUGAGAGAAUUGUGCUUUCAUGAGCAGAAU
rnacentral:lncRNA from 1 species